UACGAAGGGGGCUAGCGUUGCUCGGAAUCACUGGGCGUAAAGCGCACGUAGGCGGCCUCUUAAGUCGGGGGUGAAAUCCUGGAGCUCAACUCCAGAACUGCCUUCGAUACUGAGAGUCUUCGAGUUCGGGAGAGGUGAGUGGAACUGCGAGUGUAGAGGUGAAAUUCGUAGAUAUUCGCAAGAACACCAGUGGCGAAGGCGGCUCACUGGCCCGAUACUGACGCUGAGGUGCGAAAGCGUGGGGAGCAAACAGG
rnacentral:rRNA from 1 species